GGCCUUCAGUUGGCAUUUUUUUUUGAAUUCUAGGUAUUGUAGUAUUUUUUUUUGUAUUUGGCAAUUAUUGUCUAAUUAUGAACUAACUAAGCUUAAAAGAUUUGUCCUGUAAAAUUAUAGGUAAACUGUGUAAUUAGUUUUUGUUUUCGUCUAUAUUUAAUACUCCAUGUAUGUGCUGCAAGAUUCGAUGUGACGGAGAAUCUGAAAUUUUUUUGGGAACUAAACAAGACAUUACAAUUUUUUUUACAAAAUGGACAUGAAAUUUUUUUUGGAAGUAAACAAGGCAUUACAUUUUUUUUACAAAAUAGACAUCGUAGCACUUUCAUUUGUAUAUUACAGAUUCGUCUCGUAAAUUACAGGCAAAGUGUGCAAAAUCUGUUGAGCUCAAACGCCGAGACUAGAGCUUGUUUAGGUCUAAUCAUGGACUAACUAAACUUAACAAAUUCGUCUCGUAAAUUAUAGGCAAAAUGUGUAAUUAGUCAUUUUUUAUCUAUAUUUAAUGCUCCAUACAUGUGCCGCAAGAUUUGAUAUGACGGAGAAUCUUGAAAAAUUUUACAAAGUUUUUUAGAACCAAACAAGGCCUUAGUUUGUGAAAUUUUUUGACUUUGGCUACUGUAAUAUUUUCAUUUGUAUUUGAUAAUUAUUGUCUAACCAUGGACUAGCUAGGUUCAAAAGAUGUGUCUUGCAUAUUUACGGACAAACUGAACAAUUAAUUAUUUUUUAUUUAUAUUUAAUAGUUUAUACAUAUAUCUAAAGAUUUGAUGUGACGAAGAGUGUUUCUGGCCGCAUGAGGCCCUUGGCUGAUGUGUACUUGUAUAUUUCAACUUUUAUGUAUGAAGAAAUCAACCUUUUUGGUUUUUGUGGCAAUGCACAAAAAUAAUUACUCUCUCUAUU
rnacentral:lncRNA from 1 species